GCGCUCUUGGCGUAGUGGUAGCGCGUGUCUCUCCUACGUAUCAUGCGUUCGAUGCGAGUGUGUAGGAUUCCUGCAAGACGAGGUCGUGGGUUCGACCCCCACAGGGCGCU